rnacentral:rRNA from 1 species
CAGCAGCCGCGGGAAUACGAAGGGGGCUAGCGUUGCUCGGAAUCACUGGGCGUAAAGGGUGCGUAGGCGGGUCUUUAAGUCAGGGGUGAUAUCCUGGAGCUCAACUCCAGAACUGCCUUUGAUACUGAAGAUCUUGAGUUCGGGAGAGGUGAGUGGAACUGCGAGUGUAGAGGUGAAAUUCGUAGAUAUUCGCAAGAACACCAGUGGCGAAGGCGGCUCACUGGCCCGAUACUGACGCUGAGGCACGAAAGCGUGGGGAGCAAACAGGAUUAGAUACCCCAGUAGUCCCUGUCUCUUAUAC